rnacentral:lncRNA from 1 species
AUUAUUAAAUAAUAAAAAUAUAUUUAAUAGAGAGGAUGUUACAAAUUCAUCAUUAAUAAUAUAAAAGCAUUAUCACUUCUUUUUUUAUAGUAAAGAUUGUCAAACAGAGGAAAACAAUUCACUGAUUGUAUUAAUAAGAUUAUUCACGUUAUUUAGCAUCAUAAAAGGAAAGUAACAAAGUUUUCAAGAUUCAACUCAAACUACAAUUAAAAAUUAAAUCACCAACCCCACCCUAGUGUUACAAUAUCAGAGCUCGUAGCGACUACAACUUAUUCAACUACUAAAUAACAAAACCAAACGGAGGGCAUCCCAUCAUCUCCAUCCUCUAAAACGUCCCACAUCUACUCCUUGUCAACCUGAGUAUCUGUACUCAGGGUAUAGUCACCGUACAGAAAACAACACAACAAAAUAAGGGGUGAGAAAUCCUGCCAUAACAAAAUAACAGGGAAAAGCAUGCACAUUAAAUAAAUAUCAAAAGAAUAUAGUCUCCACUAUCUCAUCAUUCUCAACAGUUACUAUGUAUAAUCUCUUCAUUUUACAUGUCAGAGCAACACAUCAUAUUCACACUAAAACACCCAAUAUAACAUCAAUGCAUAUGGACUCUUCUAAUGACCUAUAUGACUGUGGUACCACACCUAUCGUCAUAAUUUGCCAGAAGUAUGUUACUUGACUUUCAUCGUCAUAAUUUGCCAGAGAUAUGUUACUGGACUUUCAUCGUCAUUUCGUCAUCAUGAUUCCUAGACACGACUCUAUAUGCAUGCAUGAGACAGACUCUUCAGGUAUUAAAAGAUCAUAACAUCGUCAACAAAUCAGAAUCAUAAAUUCAGACUCUUCCUAUUAUGCACGACAUCAAGACAAACACAUCAUCAUCAUAAGUAAACAUCGUCAUUCUCAUCAUCAAUGUAUAUUAGACACCAUCAUUUAAGUCAUCAUCAUAAUUAUACGUCAUCAUUCUCAUAGUCAAUACACACACACACACACACACACACACACCACCCUCAUCAUCGUCAUAGAUAAACAUCAUUACUCUCAUCAUCAUACUGAAAUAGUUAUCGUCAUCCUCAUCAUCAAUAACAUAUAAACAUUAUCAUUUCUCAUCGUAUUUAUUUAAUUACAUAUAUAUAAUAUCUUCGUCAUCACUCUUCGUCACAUUAUAGAUUCCUCAUUAUUCAUCUCUAUCAACCGUUUAUAUCACCAUUGUAUCUCUUCACUAAUCCAACCCUUACGCGUAAUUCAAUUCUACGUCAACUUCCCUAUAUUUUAUUUUAGUAUUCAUUUUACGAACAUACAUUAUUCUCUCAUCUAUUCUAGGCUCUAUGAACUUUAUUCCUAAUAUCAUACCCUAUUCCUCAUUCUUGGUCUCAAGUUGUUUUCUUAUUUCGCUAUCAUUAAAUGCAAAUUCUCCGCUAUCAUUAAACCUAUAUAUAUAUAUAUAUAUAUAUAUAUAGGUUUUUCCUCACAAUUGUUAUUAACUCUUUCCUACUUAUUCUCCUCAAUAAAACGACUUUAUAUCUUAUUACUUGUUCUCGUUCGUCGUCAUCUAUACACCGUCCUUCCCCUAAUCUUAACUUCAUUUUAAUUUUAAAGUUAUCAUCUAACCUAAUACUUCAUUAUAAUUCGAGGUUUCAUUCUCUUGAUAUCGGUCGUUAUUAUAUUUGUCACUCAUUACAACUACUACGUCUUAUCCUCUAUCCUAUGCAUCUUGCUCCCUGCUAAUCGAUCCUCUUCUUAUUCAUCGUUAUCAUCAUUCAUGUUAUGUUUUCAGUCCUUAAUAUACAACUCCUAACCUUCCCUUACAUUUCGUCUUAACGAUCUUCUCAUCGUUUACGAUCAUAUUCUUUAUUCAUUUUUUACACCUUAUACAUUGUCUAACAUCCCAUAUUAUCAUCGUCUUAUACCCUUUUUACUAAAUCGUGUGUUUUUAGUCUCACCACAUACCCACGCUAUUUGCUCUAGUAAUUUCUCGUCUUAUUACCCUUAAUCAACUUGAUAUCCUUUCUCAAUGAUAUUAUCAUCCCCUAAAUUACCCAAUGAUUUAACUCCUACUCAUAACAUAACCCACUUCAUCAUUUACUCGUCACCCUAAACAAGACAUGUCAUCGUCAUUACUCGUCAUUCACAAAACAUCAUUAAUUAUGAUAUCAUUCAUCCUCACCAUUCAACAAUUAUUAUCUGAACAUAGAUCCUCAUCACACGACAAUAACUUCUCACCAUUAAUCAACAUCUUAUACGAGCAUAUGUACACAUCAUAUUCCUUCGUUACUCGUUACUGCAUUUUAGAAUCUACUCUCGUCAUUCGUUCUCUCCAUUACUACGUCUUUCACCCUAGUAGUAUACCCCGUUAUCCAUUCUAAUUUAAGUAUUAACCUCUCGAUUAAUAUUCCUCAUAGCGUCUCCCGUAUUUAUAUUUCACUUUCUAUUUUCAAGCUAUCUUGACACCAUUAGAUUCUCAUAGGUUACUAUCCUCGGUUCCUAUUUAAGCUUGUUAUUAUUCUGAGUUAAUCACUUCUAAUUACGCUUAAACCCACUCCUUCAUUAUGUUAUAUAGUUUAGGGCCCUUACUUUUACCGUUCUCUUUAACAACCUUCUUAAACUCUUUAUUAUUUUCUAUGACGUUUUAAGGCUCAUUGAACAUAUUAUGCUGAAGUUUCACGAAAAAUGCAGCAUGACCCAGGUACGGUAAUUUAACCAUAACUCAAGUUGCAGAGGUAUGGUUGAGGUGAAACCAAAGCCAUUGGAAAGCUAACACACAUACCUAAAAUUUUCAUGUUUCGACCGAAAUCCAGUUCGGAACGGAAAAUGGUUAAAAACAACAGUUUUUGUUUGUUAAGUUGUGCUGACAAAAUCGGGGGCCGAAUUUACAAAAUUGGGGCCCGAUUUUUGUCGAAUCAAAACACUCAGAAAGGCGUUUUUCCCCAAUUAAUCACUUUUGAAUCACUUAACUCAAUCCCUACACACCCAAAUUGUCCUUAAUCAUCAAUCUAGGUUUACCCUACUAUUUAAGUGUUAAUUCCCUCUCAAAGUAUCCAAUUUUACACUAUUCCAGGGUCAAGUUCUGAACUCUAAUCUCUAAACUAGGUUCCCUUUAUAUUACUCUUUCAACAACAAUUCUACAUUCAUUCAUCAUAAUUUUUCAGUGGAACUCUUCCUCAUGACAGCAAUCAUAACUUAAGAAUUAAUUAACCUCAACAACGUCCUCAUCACCAUCAUAACAACACUCAUACUCUAACCCCUUUACAACCCUACAACAAAAUAUUAAACCCUAGAGAUGAAGAGAUUCUCCCCUUACCUCGAUUUCUUCUGAAAUUUCCAGCUUGGCUUGAUCCCGUCGCAACUAGGGUUUCUUCUCAUAUGCUUCUUUUUUCUUUCUUUUUUCACGUUCAACAAAAGUGACUCUUCUAACUUCUAAUGUUUCUAUUUAUACUUGGGUCAAUCACAUGUUAUAACUUUCUUCUCCUUUAUUCACUAUACUUUUACUCCUCCCCUCCCCCACUUAUUUAAAACUUAUAUUCUACACCUCCGACUUGUAUUAUAUUUACUUAAUUCUUCUCUUCAUCCUAUUAUCCCUAAUAAUACAUCACUAAUCCACAUUAUAAUCAUAAUAAACACGACUCCACCUAUUUAACCUCACAAAAUUAAUUAAAUAGAAAUUUGGGGUGUUACA